CCUGGCUUAGGAUGAACGCUGGCGGCGUGCCUAACACAUGCAAGUCGAACGGGACUAUCAAGUGAUGUUUCGGACUGAACUUUUAGUUAGUGGCGGACGGGUGAGUAACGCGUGGACAACCUGCCUCUCACUGGGGGAUAGCAGCUGGAAACGGCUGGUAAUACCGCAUGCGUUCAAUGUGCCGCAUGACACAUUGAAGAAAGAUUUAUCGGUGAGAGAUGGGUCCGCGUCUGAUUAGCCAGUUGGCGGGGUAACGGCCCACCAAAGCGACGAUCAGUAGCCGGCCUGAGAGGGCGGACGGCCACAUUGGGACUGAGACACGGCCCAGACUCCUACGGGAGGCAGCAGUGGGGGAUAUUGCACAAUGGGCGCAAGCCUGAUGCAGCGACGCCGCGUGAGUGAAGAAGUAUUUCGGUAUGUAAAGCUCUAUCAGCAGGGAAGAAAGGCCCGCAAGGGAGAUGACGGUACCUGACUAAGAACGCCCCGGCUAACUACGUGCCAGCCGCCGC
rnacentral:rRNA from 1 species